rnacentral:rRNA from 1 species
UUACUACAUGGAUAACCGUGGUAAUUCUAGAGCUAAUACAUGCUAAAAGCCUCGACUUCGGAAGGGGCGUAUUUAUUAGAUAAAAAACCAAUGCCCUUCGGGGCUCCUUGGUGACUCAUAAUAACUUAACGAAUCGCAUGGCCUUGCGCCGGCGAUGGUUCAUUCAAAUUUCUGCCCUAUCAACUUUCGAUGGUUGUGUAGUGGACAACCAUGGUUUCUACGGGUGGAUCGUCGCCCGUAGUUUGUCCGUCGGACCGCCCGGGCCUCGGGCUGGCUCCGGCGACACCGCUGGCUCGGAUAACGCUGCACAAGCAAAGUCCGGGGUGAGCUUCACGGGGCCACCUAAACGCAUGCAUAGCGGUGGGCCUCUUGGGAGGUUUUCGGUACAUGCUGCCGCCCGGCCACUGCCGGGAUGAUAUCGCGAACGGGGAAUUGUAAGCAUCUUCUCCCCUCUGCAUCGCUGGAAACGUUUGCUAACUGUUGUUUUUAGANGGUUCUAUUCCGGAGAGGGAGCCUGAGAAACGGCUACCACAUCCAAGGAAGGCAGCAGGCGCGCAAAUUACCCAAUUCCGACACGGAGAGGUAGUGACAAUAAAUACUGAUACAGUGCCCUUUCGGGUAUUGUAAUUGGAAUGAGUACAAUUUAAAUCCCUUAACGAGGAACAAUUGGAGGGCAAGUCUGGUGCCAGCAGCCGCGGUAAUUCCAGCUCCAAUAGCGUAUAUUAAAGUUGUUGCAGUUAAAAAGCUCGUAGUUGAAACUUGGGCCUGGCUGUCCGGUCCGCCUCACCGCGUGCACUGGCUCGGCCGGGCCUUUCCUUCUGGGGAACCGCAUGCCCUUCAUUGGGUGUGUCGAGGAUCCAGGACUUUUACUUUGAAAAAAUUAGAGUGUUCAAAGCAGGCCUAUGCUCGAAUACAUUAGCAUGGAAUAAUAGAAUAGGACGUGUGGUUCUAUUUUGUUGGUUUCUAGGACCGCCGUAAUGAUUAAUAGGGAUAGUCGGGGGCGUCUGUAUUCAAUUGUCAGAGGUGAAAUUCUUGGAUUUAUUGAAGACAAACUACUGCGAAAGCAUUCGCCAAGGAUGUUUUCAUUAAUCAGGGAACGAAAGUUAGGGGAUCGAAGACGAUCAGAUACCGUCGUAGUCUUAACCAUAAACUAUGCCGACUAGGGAUCGGACGGUGUUACUUAUUUGACCCGUUCGGCACCUUACGAGAAAUCAAAGUUUUUGGGUUCUGGGGGGAGUAUGGUCGCAAGGCUGAAACUUAAAGACAUUGACGGAAGGGCACCACCAGGUUUGUAACCCUUCUUGCCCCCGAAUAUUGACGUUUGCUAACCCAUUCUCUAGGCGUGGAGCCUGCGGCUUAAUUUGACUCAACACGGGGAAACUCACCAGGUCCAGAUUUGAUAAGGAUUGACAGAUUGAGAGCUCUUUCUUGAUUUCAAAGGUGGUAACGGCCCCGUGCGCUGCCACCCACAGUUCGAACAGCUAGUCUGCCCGGCAGGCGAUGUGCUCCGAGUGCUGAAAGCCUCCCGCUGACUGGCGGGGGGCAUCAGCAGCCGGGCCCCCGGAGAGGGGCCGCCCGGUUCACAGACUCCACGAGCAUGGACCAAAGCGGUUCCAGAUAUAGUCGGCCCCGGGCGGAAACGCCCGGGCCAUCUCUUGCGGGUGCAUGGCCGUUCUUAGUUGGUGGAGUGAUUUGUCUGCUUAAUUGCGAUAACGAACGAGACCUUAACCUGCUAAAUAGCCAGGUCAGCUUUGGCUGGCCGCCGGCUUCUUAGAGGGACUAUCGGCUCAAGCCGAUGGAAGUUUGAGGCAAUAACAGGUCGCUUUCUCACAGGCCUGUCUUGCACCUCGCCCCGUCUGGGGCGUGGGCUGUCGUAGGUUUCCUACGGCUAUACACCACUGGUUCCGAGAACACCUCUAGGGUGGAUUCGGAGGCGAGCUUCGGCCGCCCAAACGCAUGCAAAGUGGUGGGCUCUCCCGGGAGCUUUUGGUACAUGCUGAUCCCUCGGGCUCCCGAGAGAUAACUGCUGUGAUGCCCUUGGCUUAACGUCUAGGGGCGAAGAAGUGGGUUUCACUAGUUGCUUUCCGGCGGCGACAUCGCCACUCUGGCGGGAAAGUUUCUCACCGAAACCGACCCGCAGCCAGCGUCGCUGGCCCAGAGGCUAAAUGGCGGUGGGCGUUUCGGCGCUUUAGAUAUGGUCCACCGCUCGCCAGCAAUGGCGCAGCUGCAGGGUAGAUGUUCUGGGCCGCACGGUACGUACACUGUCUCACCU